rnacentral:lncRNA from 1 species
GGGAGGCCGAGGCGGGUGAAUCAUGAGGUCAAGAGAUCGAGACCAGCCUGGUCAACAUGGUGAAACCCCGUCUCUACUAAAAAUACAAAAAAAUUAGCUGGGCAUGGUGGCGCAUGCCUGUAAUCCCAGCUACUUGGGAGGCUGAGGCAGAAUUGCCUGAACCCAGGAGGCGGAGGUUGUGGUGAGCCGAGAUCGCGCCAUUGCACUCCAGCCUGGGUAACAAGAGCGAAACUCCGUCUCAAAAAAAAAAAAAAAAAAGAAAAUCGUGAGUAAAACCGGCCCCAUUCUGUCCUGUCUCUUUAAGAACAUCUGAAGCGCAAACCUGAGCAGCCGCACUUCAGAGGCACGGCCCCUCUUAAGCAGCGCAGCCCAGCCAGAAUUAAAAGCACAGGGUUUUACCUCCAAGUUCUCUCUCUGCUUUUCCCCUCCUUCUCUAUCCUUCGGUUGUCAUCUCUGGGACCAAAACCUGUGGGAGCCUGUGGGGUGGAAAGGCCUAAUGGCCCACACGUCUCUCUACCCAGCAUCACCCAGCCCAACUGCAAUGCCUCGAAACUGCUCGGAGCCCUGAGGGCGGCGCUGCACCUGCCAAGGUUACUCGAUGGAACUCGAUGGAGAGAAUUAGAGUAA